GUGAAGUGAUGAAGAAGUUUAUCCAUUCUCUGAGUGUUGCUGCUCUGCCCUUCUUGCCACAUCCAGAUUCCUGUUCUAGGGUCUUGAUGCUGCGUGGCCUCCAGACACCUUUCAACCUUCCAGUGUUCUACUGGGGGCCGUGGGGAUGUUUGGUCGGCUGCUGGCAGGCCUGGGCAGAAAAAGCGGGGCCAGAACCCCUUUGUACGGGGCUCUGGCUCAACCAAGAAGAAUGAAACUGUCUGAUCAC